rnacentral:rRNA from 1 species
CAUAUCCCGUGAGACGGAUGACAUGGCUCAAGAGUCGACGAAGGGCGUGGCAAGCUACGAUAUGCCUCGGCAAACUGCAUGCAGGUAUUGAACCGAGGAUUCCCGAAUCAGACUUCUGAUCUCGCAAGAGAUGAUCCUAACGGAUCGAGAACCCGGGGAACUGAAGCGUCUUAGUACCCGGAGGAAAAGAAAUCAAUAGAGAUGCUGUAAGUAACAGCGAGUGAAAACAGCACAAGACAAACUGAAUCUUGCUAUGAAAGUGGUAAGAGAUGUGGUGUGAUAAGACUUUCUUUUAUCCGUAACUAUUGGUGUUGAACUGCUUUGGAAAAAGUGACGAUACAGGGUGAUAGUCCCGUAAACAACUGAUGGUCGGAGUGAAAGUAUCUUGAGUAGAACUCAUCGGAAAUUGGGUUCGAAUUUGGGAGGCAUCAACUUCCAAUCUUAAAAACAGCUUGAGUCCGAUAGCGAAUGACGUACCGCGAGGGAACGUUGAAAAGAACCCGUAACAGGGAGUUUAAAGAUCCUGAAGUCUCAUGGGUAUAGAGAGAUACUGCUCGUAAGAGUUGUAUCGUACGUUUUGAAUAACGGGCCAGGGAGUUUGCUUGAGUGGCGAGGGUAAAACAUAUUCAUGUUGCACCCGAAGGGAAACCAAGAAGCUGCACGCAAGGAGAGCUCCGAUAUGAAAAUGUCGAGAGUCACUGAGGCAUGACCCGAAACCAAUCGAUCUAACCAAUGGCAGGAUGAAGCGGCGUUGAUACGCUGUGGAGGUCCGAGGCGGUACUACAUGCAUGUGUUCGUUUGACCAUAGGUUAGGGGUGAAAAGCCAAUCGAGAUUGGUGAUAGCUGGUUCUUACCGAAAUCGGCCGUAGUCGAGUCUGAAUGGAGACAGUACGGGAGGUAGAGCGACGGAUCUAAAAGCCUGGGGGAGAAAUCCCUCACUUUUUUGUCCAACUCCCAAUAUCCGUACGUCGUAGAAGUUCGGAAACAGGCGUGCUGGGGUAAACUUGUACGUCUAUAGGGGAACAACCCCAUCUCGUGUUAAGGUCCCAAAGAAUGCGUUAAGUGUUAUAGGGUGAAAGGUGUGUAUCACCUAAGACAGAGGGGAGGUAUGCUUAGAAGCAGCAAUCCUUUAAAGAAAGCGUAAUAGCUCACCCUUCAAGGUAGAUACGCCCUGAAGAUGGACGGGGCUAAAUGCAUCACCGAUACAUGAGACCUGCUUCCGGGUGGAGGCAGUGUGGUAGGUAAGCGUUCUGUCUGGGUAGAAGCCAAGCUGUGAGGCUAGGUGGACCGGAUAGAAAUGAGAAUCCUGGUGGUAGUAAGAUCGAUAUAGUGUGAGAACCACUAAUACCGAAAGGGCUAGGGUUUCUCAGCAAUGACAAUCAACUGAGAGGUAGUCAGACCUAACUCAUAUCCUAAUGGAGAAUGGGGAGAGGGAAAACGGUUAAUAUUCCGUUACUUGUUCUGUACGUGCGGCGACGCAAGGUGCGUAGCUGACACUUCCGGCUAGAUAGACACGUACUGUCGUGCGUGUGAAUCUGGAUACAUGAGGGGAGUAUCGUAACGAUGAGAUCCUCAUGAAACUAGAGAUCAGGUAUCCUUUGGGUACUUCCAUUGAUGCCAGGAGUCCGUGAAAAGGCAACGCGCAAGGAUCAGAACAAACUGUACCAACAACCAGCACUGGUGUCCCUAGGUGAGAAGCCUCAGGUAUACAGGAAUAAACUUUGUUAGGGAAAUCGGCAAAUUAGCUCCGUGCCUUCGGCAUAAGGAGUCCCUGAGCUUGUAUUCGUAUGAGUGCAAGUGCAGGGUUGUAUAACAAGAUGGGCCCGACUGUUUAACAAAAACGUAACGUCUCGCAAGUCCGAAAGGAUGUGAAUGGGACGUGACGUCUGCCCAAUGCUAGUAUCUCAAACCUCUGUUCAAGGAGGCUAAGGACUAGUGAAUGGCGGGAAUAACUAUAAUUCUCUUAAGGUGGAACAUAAUACUGCCUUAGUAAAAUCGGGCUAUAUGCUGGAACAUCUGAGUAUCCCACACUACGAAUGCACUUCUCAAAGACCCCAAAAAGGUUUUUAAGGAAAGUAUUCGUGACAAUGUGAUGGGUGCAGACAAUCAGCAGGAAAGGCUAGAGAAACAAUGGAUAGUCGGUUUCGUUGAUGGUGAAGGAUGUUUUUACGUAGGUAUUAAUCAUCCCAGAAACUAUCGACAAGUUUUGCCAGAAUUUCGUAUUGUCCAACAUCAAAAAGAUGAAGCUCUGUUAAACAAAAUCAAACAGUUCUUUCGAUGUGGAUCCGUGACUAAAAAUCAUGGAGACAGAAAAGAAUGGCGAGUUCGCGGGAUAAAAAAUCUCAACAACAUCGUCAAAUUUUUCCAAACACAUCAGCUGAAAAGCAGAAAGAAAAAAGAUUUUGAAAUAUUUGCAGAGAUCAUCAAGAUGAUAAAUGAGAAAAAACAUUUAUCAGAUGAAGGAUGGAAGAAAAUUGCGGAAUUGGCAGGACAAAUGAAUCGGCAAAAACAGCGUAAUCUAGAAUCCUCAGAGACUAUAUGCCAGACAUCACGUGAAGUGAUGAAGAUAGAGUCCGACCUUAUCAGCGAUGAUAAGACCUCAUCAGAAAUGGUGAGACGCCAAGAAAAAAUCUUUUUGGUUAGUAACUUUUGACAGCAGAAGUGAAGUAACAGAUGUGAGCGAAAUACCUUGUCGUUUGAAUGACGACGCGCAUGAAUGGCGUAACGAGGUUCAUACUGUCCCAACAAAGAGUCCUCCGAACUCGCUCUGAUGGUGUGAAGGCCAUCGAUGUCCAGUGGGAAGCGAAGACCCCGUAGAACUUUACUGUAGCUUGUCGUUGCGAGGUAAAGAUUCGUAUGUAGCGUAGGUGGUAGUCGUUUGAUGGUCAGCUCGUUAGGGUUGAUCUAGACACCAAUGAAACACCACUUUCGAAUUUUUG